rnacentral:rRNA from 1 species
AUACGGUGAAACUGCGAAUGGCUUGUAAUGGGCCACUCCAGCACCUUCAGCGGGUCUUUACCCGUGACAUCGUCCAAAUGUGGGGAUCGCUGGACCUCCGUCCGGCGAACCCGCAGCCAGAGCUACCUCUGGUUCAACGACUACAAUACGGAUGGCCGGCCUAGGUCGGUUAAGAUAUAGUCUUACUCCCCGGCGAGGGCCGGGGAGGUUCGGCAUUAAAUCAGUUAUCGUUUAUUUGAUAGUACCUUACUACAUGGGAUAACCGUGGUAAUUCUAGAGCUAAUACAUGCUAAAAACCUCGACUUCGGAAGGGGUGUAUUUAUUAGAUAAAAAACCAAUGCCCUUCGGGGCUCUCUGGUGAUUCAUAAUAACUUAACGAAUCGCAUGGCCUUGCGCCGGCGAUGGUUCAUUCAAAUUUCUGCCCUAUCAACUUUCGAUGGUAGGGUAUUGGCCUACCAUGGUUUCUACGGGUAGACCGUUGCCCGUAUUGAACCUGUCGGAGCGUCUGCACGCAGGCCUCCGGCGACACCGCUGGCUCGGAAGACCCCGCUCGUGGGGGGAUUUCGGGGUGCGCCACUAUGGCCACCUAAACGCAUGCAUAGCGGUGGGCCUCUCGAGAGGUUUCUGGCACAUGCUGCCGUCCAGCCUUCGCUGGAUCGACAUCCGUGAACGGGGAAUUAGUAAGUCACUUUUGUUUUGCCCUCAUCGUGAACACAUGCUAACAUAAUCUUUGCAGGGGUUUUUUCGGUUGAGCUCUAUUGAUAUCCAGCGGGCACCUCCUUGCCCGCGACAUUGUCUCAAAUGUGGGGACGGUCGGGUCUCGGCCCUCCGAAUCCGCAGCCAGACUGGUUCUGGUUCAACGACUAUAAGGCAUGGCCGCGAGCGGUUAAGAUAUAGUCUCCUCCCCGGCGCAACCCGGGGAGCUGGGUCGACUCCGGAGAGGGAGCCUGAGAAACGGUACGUCAACAUUGCAUUUCCCAAUCUCGGGAAGCAACCUACUAACAUCUAUUUCUAGGCUACCACAUCCAAGGAAGGCAGCAGGCGCGCAAAUUACCCAAUCCCGACACGGGGAGGUAGUGACAAUAAAUACUGAUACAGGGCUCUUUUGGGUCUUGUAAUUGGAAUGAGUACAAUUUAAAUCCCUUAACGAGGAACAAU